UACGAGGGGGGCUAGUGUUGUUCGGAAUCACUGGGCGUAAAGGGAGCGUAGGCGGGAGCCUAAGUUGGGUGUUUAAUUCCGGGGCCCAACCCCGGGCGUGCACUCAAAACUGGGUUUCUUGAAUAGGGGAGAGGUCGGUGGAAUUGGAGGUGUAGCGGUGGAAUGCGUAGAGAUCGCCAAGAACACCCGUUGCGAAGGCGGCCGACUGGACCCAUAUUGACGCUGAGGCUCGAAAGCAUGGGGAGCAAACAGG
rnacentral:rRNA from 1 species